UUAAAUGGCUGCAGUAAUUUGACUGUACAAAGGUAGCAUAAUCAUUAGUUUUUUAAUUAAAAGCUUGUAUGAAAGGUUGGACGAAAUAAAAUCUGUCUCUUUUUAAGUAAAAUUAGAAUUUUAUUUUUAAGUUAAAAAGCUUAAAUUUUUAUAAAAGACGAGAAGACCCUAUAGAGUUUUAUAGUUUUAAUUUAAUUAUUAAUUUAGAUUUAUUAAUUUUAUUUUAUUAAAAUUAUUUUAUUGGGGUAAUAAAAAGAUUAAAAUAAUUCUUUUUUUUAUAAAUCAUUAAUAUAUGAAAUUUUUAUGAUCCAUUAAGUUUUGAAUAUAAG
rnacentral:rRNA from 1 species